GACGAACGCUGGCGGCGUGCUUAACACAUGCAAGUCGAACGGAAAGGCCUCUUUCGGGGGGUACUCGAGUGGCGAACGGGUGAGUAACACGUGAGUAACCUGCCCUUGACUUUGGGAUAACUUCAGGAAACUGGGGCUAAUACCGGAUAGGAGCUCCUGCUGCAUGGUGGGGGUUGGAAAGUUUCGGCGGUUGGGGAUGGACUCGCGGCUUAUCAGCUUGUUGGUGGGGUAGUGGCUUACCAAGGCUUUGACGGGUAGCCGGCCUGAGAGGGUGACCGGCCACACUGGGACUGAGAGACGGCCCAGGCUCCUACGGGAGGCAGCAGGGGGGAAUAUUGCACAAUGGGUGGAAGCCUGAUGCAGCAACGCCGGGUGCGGGAUGACGGCCUUCGGGUUGUAAACCGCUUUCGCUCAUGACGAAGCUUUGUGUGACGGUAGUGGGUAAAGAAGCACCGGCUAACUACGUG
rnacentral:rRNA from 1 species